rnacentral:ncRNA from 1 species
UUUUUACUUAUUAUACACAUGCAAGCAUCCACCCCCCUGUGAGAACGCCCUUUAACCCCUCUUAGGAGCAAGGAGCCGGUAUCAGGCACAACAAUCUGCCCAAAACACCUAGCUUUGCCACACCCACAAGGGAAUUCAGCAGUGAUUAAGAUUGAGCAUUAGCGCAAGCUCGACUCAGUUAAAGUAAUAAAGAGCCGGCCAAUCUGGUGCCAGCCGCCGCGGUUACACCACGUGGCUCAAAUUGACCCCUUCCGGCGUAAAACGUGAUUAAAGUUUUUUCCACUUAGGGCUAAACCAAAACUAAGCUGUGACACGCCUGUUUACCAAGAGACUCGAAAACGAAAGUUGCUCUAACACAACCAACUUGAAUUCACGACAGCUGGGAAACAAACUGGGAUUAGAUACCCCACUAUGCCCGGCCAUAAACUUUUACUUACACCCCCUCCCCAUCGCCAGGGAACUACGAGCCAAGCUUAAAACCCAAAGGACUUGACGGUACCCCAUAUCCCCCUAGAGGAGCCUGUCCUAUAAUCGAUAAUCCACGUUUAACCUCACCAUUUUUAGUUAUCAGCCUGUAUACCUCCGUCGUCAGCUUACCACGUGAGCGUCAAUAAGUGAGCCUAAUGUUACUUCACCAACACGUCAGGUCAAGGUGCAGCAAAUGAAAUGGAAAGAGAUGGGCUACACUUUCUAUAUUAGAAGAGACGAAAAACUUUAUGAAACCUAGUUAGAAGGCGGAUUUAGUAGUAAAAAGGAACCAGAAUGUCCAUUUUAACCCGGCACUGGGGUGUGUACACACCGCCCGUCACCCUCUUCAAAGCUGUCCACAAAGUUUUUAACUAAUUAAAGCGCAACAGAAGAGGCAAGUCGUAACAUGGUAAGUAUACCGGAAGGUGUGCUUGGAAA